CUGUGAAAGGGAGCUGUUUGCAGCAGGCGCUGCCCCCUCCCUCCUCUCACUCCCUCCUCCACCACCUUCUGGGCCCCAUCUGGGUUCCUGGGCCAUUUGGAAAACCGAGAGUUGAUGAAAUGCGCAGCCAGCUGUGGCUCAAGCUUGUUAUCUUGGACGGAGGAGGAAGAGGGAGCAGGGAUCAUAGAACAAGUCCUAACACUUUGUUAAAGGUGAACCACACUCAGCCCCAGUCUGGGACUUCGGAGAAAUGUCAGCCUCCUGAUGGAAAUGUACAUCUCGUUGCCAUGUUUAAUAGUCUCUUUUCCUGCUCAUGGAAAAGCGGAGCAAGGAAUGAGACUUUAGAACUAUUUUGUACUGUGAAUUACGGAUGCUCUUUGAAGGAAAGAGAAGUUGAUUCUAAUGUUCUUCAGAAGCUCUGGCAGGGAUAAACAGGACACCUGACUAGAACAUACGCUAAAUGUAAUCAGACAAAUUCUAUUUUCUUACCCGAGCAAAUAUUUUAUUGAGACUGCUUAUGUAUGUCCCAGGAGCCCACGACUUCAGCUACACAACUUUUUUGUAUUGAAAAAACUCAUACUUUUUGUAACUUUGACUCCACAUUUAAUUUAAAAUGACUUUAUAGCACUAAAAUGCCUAGCAGAAGACGUUACUCCAGACCUUUAAGGAAAUUUUUAGUUUUUAUGAAAAAUGAUGCUUCAGUGGUUAACUUGUCCUGUCGUUGGUGCUUCUGGCCCUAACGGCACCACUAGACAAUACCGCAACCACGUGGAAACAUAUUUUUGGGAGCAAAACUUUAAUUUUGUAUGACAUAUGCUAUGGAGAGUGAAGAAAAUUUAAAGACUACUUGUUGUCUAUUUUUUUUCUUAACAAAAUGGAAUCCACUGUGUUGAAGACUCUUGAUAUUAUGUGAUUGUCUAACCAUUUUUUAUAAAUUAGAAUAAAAUCUAGUGUGAUCAUGGUCA
rnacentral:lncRNA from 1 species